rnacentral:lncRNA from 1 species
CUUUUUUUUAUUAUUCAGAAUUUCUAUUUUCCCUUGAAAUUUUGCAAUCUUUAAUUCUAUACAAGGUGUUGAAUUCCAAGAUUACAUAAUUUUGACUGUAGGAGUGACCGAUUCAAUUUCUUUCGUCUGUUUCGGAAUCGUAACAUUAUUUUUUUGUUCAAUUCAUGACUCUGCAUCACUGUUGGUUAUAUCUUAUUCUGUUGUUCCGUUUCACAGACGAAAUUCAGCAAAAUGGACGAUUGGGAAGAAGAGCACAUCGCACCUCUUAAUCUUGUACUAAAAGACAAAAUUAAAAGUAAUUGGGAUGAUGAAGAUGUGGAUGAAAAUGAUAUAAAGGAGUCAUGGGAGGAUGAAGACGAGCCUGCUCCGGCACCUGUAGCACCUGCUGUAAAAACUACUGAAAAGGCUCCUAAAAAAUCUUCUGAAAAAGGUGCUGAAAAGAAGGGAAAGCAAGUAGAACCAGUAAAGGAAGAACCAUUGGAUCCCGUGGCAGAAAAACUCCGCCAACAAAGGUAUAGUGUUUUCCGUCAAAAUAUCUGAUGUUUCUUUUACAAUCUCUUGUUUAGGUACAGAUAAAGUCAGGAAAACAUGAUUAUGAGCAAAUGCAUAUUAUAACAAUUCCAUAGCACUGAAUCUUCUUCCCUCUUGUAGUCUUGUUAUGGGAACUUGGUUUUGGUUACAUGACAUAAUGGUCUGUCAAUACUUUUUGUUCUUUCCAGUUCAAUAUCUCUUCGUUAGCUCUAGAUUUUCUUUUAUGUCUAUUCGAACAUGUUGUAGAGUUGUUUUAGUGUUUGCUUUGACUAGCUAGGUACGUACAUAAUGGGGUACACCUUUUUCUUAUUUUAUUUCCUGGUUGGGGGUUCUAAAAUAAAUCUAGAUGAAUAAAAGAAGGAUUUCAAAAGAGGGAACGUAAGGAAUUCCCAUUGUAUUCGUGUCUAAGGAUUGAGACCUUCCUUUUAUACAGAUCCAAGUGCUCCUUUUAACCAUAGGUGUUGUGUUAUAGUAAAAGUUGCUCACUGCUUUAGAACUGCCCCUUCAUUAAUGCAAUAAUGCCUGAUAUAGCAGCCG